UACGGAGGGGGCUAGCGUUGUUCGGAAUUACUGGGCGUAAAGCGUACGUAGGCGGCUUCUUAAGUCAGAGGUGAAAGCCCGGGGCUCAACUCCGGAAUUGCCUUUGAAACUGGGAGCUUGAACAUGGGAGAGGUAAGUGGAAUUCCGAGUGUAGAGGUGAAAUUCGUAGAUAUUCGGAGGAACACCAGUGGCGAAGGCGGCUUACUGGACCAUUGUUGACGCUGAGGUACGAAAGCGUGGGGAGCAAACAGG
rnacentral:rRNA from 1 species